rnacentral:precursor_RNA from 7 species
AUGGUCUUAGUGAUGAGCCUAGAAGAGAACUUACUGCUUCCACUUUCCUAUAGUUUAAUUUCUAACUGCAUUCUAUAGGAAAGUGGAAGCAGUAAGUUCUCUUCUAGGUUCCGUGACCUCACCAGCU